rnacentral:rRNA from 1 species
UACGUAGGGGGCUAGCGUUAUCCGGAAUUACUGGGCGUAAAGGGUGCGUAGGUGGUUUCUUAAGUCAGAGGUGAAAGGCUACGGCUCAACCGUAGUAAGCCUUUGAAAUUGGGAAACUCGAGUGCAGGAGAGGAGAGUGGAAUUCCUAGUGUAGCGGUGAAAUGCGUAGAUAUUAGGAGGAACACCAGUUGCGAAGGCGGCUCUCUGGACUGUAACUGACACUGAGGCACGAAAGCGUGGGGAGCAAACAGG